CUGGCACAGCUCUCAGCCAGCCCCACACACGCUGCAGCUUGCCUUGCCAUGCAGCAGCAGACCUCUGCUGAGAAGACAAGAAAUACUGCAGAGCUCUGCAACAAGAUUUGAGGGCUUGAGAUGUGACCUUUGGGUGUGAUCAGAACCAUUUUCAUGAAGUUACCCUUAAGCCUAAAGUUCUCAUCUGUGCUGCUCUGUUGCUGACAUUUUGGACAGUGACUCUACUCCGAAGUUUUUUGCCAGGAGUAAGGAUUUCACCAUGGUGUCUUUUUCUAUUCAACAAGAAGAAAAAUCUUAGUAUCAGAAAAGAGG
rnacentral:lncRNA from 1 species